rnacentral:sRNA from 1 species
GCCGAGCAUGGUGGAGCAUGCCUGUAAUCCCAGUGACUUGGGAGGCUGAGGCAGGAGGAUCGUGAGUUCAAAGCCAGCCUCAG